UCGUUGAUAUAAAAGAUGAGAGUUUUUUUUUUCAAAUGCAUUUCAUGUUCCUGCAAGCUCCUCUUUGGGCAGUUGGAAAUACAAAGGGUAAUUAAAUGCUUCGUGGGUUCUUUUUCAGGAGAAAAAAAAAAAAGUCUCGCUCUCGUAGAUAUAAGCUUACUCAAGUUAGUUAUAAUAAAUAUGAUCUUCACUCUGUAUCCGAGUUCAAAUCCUUUUAUCCAUAGUUUAGAUUAAAUUAAAAUAAAAUCUUGUCUGUAUAAAAGAAAAACAAAAACAAAAAGCAAAAAAUUGUCUCGGGUUUGGCUGAAGUUAAAACUGCAAAGGAAAAGAGUUGGUGAGAUUUCUUGCAAGAUUCACAAAUAGUCGGAAGUGCAGACAGCGCGUGUCAAGCGUUAACAUACACGAGGCCACGACGGAGUUUGCU
rnacentral:lncRNA from 1 species